CAGCAGCCGCGGUAAUACGGAGGGGGCUAGCGUUGUUCGGAAUUACUGGGCGUAAAGCGCACGUAGGCGGCUUGGUAAGUUAGAGGUGAAAGCCUGGAGCUCAACUCCAGAAUUGCCUUUAAGACUGCCGAGCUAGCAGGUGAGAGAGGUAAGUGGAAUUCCGAGUGUAGAGGUGAAAUUCGUAGAUAUUCGGAAGAACACCAGUGGCGAAGGCGGCUUACUGGCUCAUACUGGACGCUGAGGUGCGAAAGCGUGGGGAGCAAACAGGAUUAGAUACCCGAGUAGUCCCUGUCUCUUAUAC
rnacentral:rRNA from 1 species